GCAUAGCGGAGAGCCGAGACGGCGAGACUCCAUCGAACCAGCCGACGUCGAAGCUCCAGCCGCCGUCGAAGCUUCAGUCGCCGUCGAAGAUCCAGCUGCCGUCGGAACUCCAGUCGCCAUUGAAGGUCCAGCUCCAGCCGUCAAAGGUCCAGCUCCAGCCGUCGAAGAUCCAGCCGCAGUUGUCGCCGUCGAAGGUCCAGCUCCAGCCGUCCGUCGCCGUCUAAGCUCCGGUUUCAGCCCUCCGUCACCGUUGUCUACUCGUCUUUAUAAUGGCUUCAUCAAGUGCUUCGGCUACUCAAAGUGUUGGAUCUUCUGAAGCAAUCACACUUAAAAGGAGAUCAAAUGAUGUAGGGUGGGAAUAUGGUAUUUUAGUUUAUGGGAAAAAUAUGGAUAAAGUAAAAUGCUUGUUGUGCGGGAAACUAUUAUCCGGUGGAGUGCAUCGAAUAAAAGAGCAUAUUGCUCAUAUACAAGGAAAUGUUGUUCCAUGUUCUAAAGCUACUAAAGAUGAUCAACUUAAGUGUAG